rnacentral:lncRNA from 1 species
UCCUCGUUAUAACACAACACCUUUCUUUAUUUGGUUACUAGUCUUCCAUGUGACACAAGAAGACACUUGGGAUGAAAACUAAUCAGGUUUUUCUCGUUUAUGAUUUGUAUUUGUAUCUUUUAAUAUGUUUUUAUGUCAUUUUAUUUAAAUUUUUAUGUUAUGAAAUGCAAUCAUUCAACUUCUAAAAAAAAAAAAAAUUAAGAACCUCUAAGAAGUUUUCUCAUUGGACCAUGAAAAAAUAAAUUACACUAAUAAAUAUUCUAAACUUUUCAAAUCACACAAUUAACUAUUAAAUUAGUCAUUAGAACCCCUAAUGGGUUCUUACCAUUGGAGUUAAUCUUAUGUUCCUUUUUGGAGAACUCUAUUUGGAGAACUUGUGCCUAAUAAAUUUGGUAAACCGAAAUUGCUUUAUCGAACAAAAUAUUUGUUCCUCUGAGUUCUAAUAUCUGAUUGAAAUAUUGAUCAGGUAUAAUAGGAAACAAUUGAGAUUACAAUCAAAAUGUCUUGUCUGGCACAAUGGUUUAGCAUCUAAUUUGGUAUUCUUCUAACCUAGGUUCGUAUCUCCCCCUC